rnacentral:lncRNA from 1 species
UCACCUGCACACGCGAGCAGCAGAAGGACAGCUUUGCAUGCCUGUGCAUGAGCAAGCUUGCACGCAACAUAUGCGAGAAUCCAAUGGAUCACAUACACUUUCCUUGGCUAUUUAAAGCAAAUUUUCCUCUCAUCUCUUUCAUUUUUCUUCAUUUCCUUUUUUUUUCUUCACUUGGCUGAGAGAGAGAGAGAUGAAACCAAAAGGACCCAAAAAGAUUUCCUCUUUCACAUGAUAAGCUUUCUUAUUUUCUUUUUGAUUUCCCUUGUUCAGAAAAC